rnacentral:rRNA from 1 species
AAUGGCAUCACGAAGGUUAUACUGUCUCCUUUUUCUAAUCAGUGAAACUAAUCUCCCCGUGAAGAAGCGAGGAUAAAACUAUAAGACGAGAAGACCCUAUGGAGCUUAAAACAGUGUAGCAUCUGCCCCAUAAUACAUAAAUUUCUGAAUAAAGACUCUACUGGGCAACAUGACUGCGAGUUUUUGGUUGGGGUGACCACGGAGCACAGUACAACCUCCAUGCUGAAAGAAAAUUUCUAAGCUAAGGUCUACAAACCUAAGCAUCAACAUAUUGACAUCCAUUGACCCAAUACACUUGAACAACGAACCAAGUUACCCUAGGGAUAACAGCGCAAUCCACUUCAAAAGCUCCUAUCGACAAGUGGGUUUACGACCUCGAUGUUGGAUCAGGGUCUCCCAGUGGUGCAGCCGCUACUAAAGGUUCGUUUGUUCAACGAUUAAAACCCU